rnacentral:rRNA from 1 species
GACGAACGCUGGCGGCGUGCUUAACACAUGCAAGUCGAACGGAAAGGCCCUGCUUUUGUGGGGUGCUCGAGUGGCGAACGGGUGAGUAACACGUGAGUAACCUGCCCUUGACUUUGGGAUAACUUCAGGAAACUGGGGCUAAUACCGGAUAGGAGCUCCUGCUGCAUGGUGGGGGUUGGAAAGUUUCGGCGGUUGGGGAUGGACUCGCGGCUUAUCAGCUUGUUGGUGGGGUAGUGGCUUACCAAGGCUUUGACGGGUAGCCGGCCUGAGAGGGUGACCGGCCACAUUGGGACUGAGAGACGGACCAGACUCCUACGGGAGGCAGUAGUGGGGAAUAUUGCACAAUGGGCGGAAGCGUGAUGCAGCAACGCCGCGUGCGGGAUGACGGCCUUCGGGUUGUAAACCGCUUUCGCCUGUGACGAAGCGUGAGUGACGGUAAUGGGUAAAGAAGCACCGGCUAACUACGUG